rnacentral:rRNA from 1 species
GACGAACGCGGGCGGCGUGCCUAAUACAUGCAAGUAGAACGCUGAAGGAGGAGCUUGCUUCUCUGGAUGAGUUGCGAACGGGUGAGUAACGCGUAGGUAACCUGCCUGGUAGCGGGGGAUAACUAUUGGAAACGAUAGCUAAUACCGCAUAAGAGUAGAUGUUGCAUGACAUUUGCUUAAAAGGUGCAAUUGCAUCACUACCAGAUGGACCUGCGUUGUAUUAGCUAGUUGGUGGGGUAACGGCUCACCAAGGCGACGAUACAUAGCCGACCUGAGAGGGUGAUCGGCCACACUGGGACUGAGACACGGCCCAGACUCCUACGGGAGGCAGCAGUAGGGAAUCUUCGGCAAUGGACGGAAGUCUGACCGAGCAACGCCGCGUGAGUGAAGAAGGUUUUCGGAUCGUAAAGCUCUGUUGUAAGAGAAGAACGAGUGUGAGAGUGGAAAGUUCACACUGUGACGGUAUCUUACCAGAAAGGGACGGCUAACUACGUGCCAGCAGCCGCGGUAAUACGUAGGUGGCAAGCGUUAUCCGGAUUUAUUGGGCGUAAAGAGAGUGCAGGCGGUUUUCUAAGUCUGAUGUGAAAGCCUUCGGCUUAACCGGAGAAGUGCAUCGGAAACUGGAUAACUUGAGUGCAGAAGAGGGUAGUGGAACUCCAUGUGUAGCGGUGGAAUGCGUAGAUAUAUGGAAGAACACCAGUGGCGAAGGCGGCUACCUGGUCUGCAACUGACGCUGAGACUCGAAAGCAUGGGUAGCGAACAGG